AUUGAACGCUGGCGGCAGGCCUAACACAUGCAAGUCGAGCGGAUGAAGGGAGCUUGCUCCUGGAUUCAGCGGCGGACGGGUGAGUAAUGCCUAGGAAUCUGCCUGGUAGUGGGGGAUAACGUCCGGAAACGGGCGCUAAUACCGCAUACGUCCUGAGGUAGAAGGUGGGGGAUCUUCGGACCUCACGCUACCAGAUGAGCCUAGGUCGGAUUAGCUAGCUGGUGGGGUAAAGGCCUACCAAGGCGACGAUCCGUAACUGGUCUGAGAGGAUGAUCAGUCACACUGGAACUGAGACACGGUCCAGACUCCUACGGGAGGCAGCAGUGGGGAAUAUUGGACAAUGGGCGAAAGCCUGAUCCAGCCAUGCCGCGUGUGUGAAGAAGGUCUUCGGAUUGUAAAGCACUUUAAGUUGGGAGGAAGGGCAGUAAGUUAAUACCUUGCUGUUUUGACGUUACCAACAGAAUAAGCACCGGCUAACUUCGUG
rnacentral:rRNA from 1 species